rnacentral:rRNA from 1 species
CACGUAGGGGGCGAGCGUUGUCCGGAUUUAUUGGGCGUAAAGAGCUCGUAGGCGGUUUCGUAAGUCGGAUGUGAAAUCUCCCGGCUCAACUGGGAGGGGUCAUUCGAUACUGGCGGGCUCGAGGCCGGUAGGGGGAAGUGGAAUUCCCGGUGUAGUGGUGGAAUGCGUAGAUAUCGGGAGGAACACCAGUGGCGAAGGCGGCUUCCUGGACCGGUUCUGACACUGAGGAGCGAAAGCGUGGGGAGCGAUCCGG